GUCUCGUUACUUUGGAGUGGCUGUGGCUUCUGCUAGUGAAGUUCGAUCAUGAUUCUUAAAAUGUUUUAAGGCCCAUUCAUUCGCUUGUCUUGUGAUAUCUUCAACAUCAUAAUAUCUUUCCUGUCAAUUACCACUGGCUAGUAAUUAAGUCUGGAGAACUUACUUGUUGCAGGUAAUGAAGAUGGACGAGUAGACCAAAAGGGGCUAGUGUUGAAAUGUUGCAUUCUUUAAAGCCUUCCUUUUGGACACCCCAUUAAUGAGGCUGUUCUGAAAGAUCAUCAAAAGAGAUAAAAGUGAAAAGGAAUCAACCAAAAUCUGUGUAGAUUCUGUUCCCCACUAACCCUUCCCUCUCUGCAUUCUCUCAACUUUUAAUUCACUGUUAGUGACAAAAAUGAAGAACUUUUGUAGCUUUAUUCUAUUCCUACUUCCAUUAUUGUCCGAGAUUUCAGAUUGUUGUAUGUACAUACAUAGAAUUCGAAUGACCUCUUUCAACUUUUGGUUCU